rnacentral:rRNA from 1 species
UUAAGCGACUAAGCGUACACGGUGGAUGCCCUGGCAGUCAGAGGCGAUGAAGGACGUGCUAAUCUGCGAAAAGCGUCGGUAAGGUGAUAUGAACCGUUAUAACCGGCGAUGUCCGAAUGGGGAAACCCAGUGCAAUUCGUUGCACUAUCGUUAACUGAAUACAUAGGUUAACGAGGCGAACCGGGGGAACUGAAACAUCUAAGUACCCCGAGGAAAAGAAAUCAACCGAGAUUCCCCCAGUAGCGGCGAGCGAACGGGGAGCAGCCCAGAGUCUGAAUCAGCUUGUGUGUUAGUGGAACGGUCUGGAAAGUCCGACGGUACAGGGUGAUAGUCCCGUACACCAAAAUGCACAGGCUGUGAACUCGAAGAGUAGGGCGGGACACGUGGUAUCCUGUCUGAAUAUGGGGGGACCAUCCUCCAAGGCUAAAUACUCCUGACUGACCGAUAGUGAACCAGUACCGUGAGGGAAAGGCGAAAAGAACCCCGGCGAGGGGAGUGAAAAAGAACCUGAAACCGUGUACGUACAAGCAGUGGGAGCACCUUCGGGUGUGACUGCGUACCUUUUGUAUAAUGGGUCAGCGACUUAUAUUCUGUAGCAAGGUUAACCGUAUAGGGGAGCCGCAGGGAAACCGAGUCUUAACUGGGCGUUAAGUUGCAGGGUAUAGACCCGAAACCCGGUGAUCUAGCCAUGGGCAGGUUGAAGGUUGGGUAACACUAACUGGAGGACCGAACCGACUAAUGUUGAAAAAUUAGCGGAUGACUUGUGGCUGGGGGUGAAAGGCCAAUCAAACCGGGAGAUAGCUGGUUCUCCCCGAAAGCUAUUUAGGUAGCGCCUCGUGAACUCAUCUUCGGGGGUAGAGCACUGUUUCGGCUAGGGGGUCAUCCCGACUUACCAACCCGAUGCAAACUACGAAUACCGAAGAAUGUUAUCACGGGAGACACACGGCGGGUGCUAACGUCCGUCGUGAAGAGGGAAACAACCCAGACCGCCAGCUAAGGUCCCAAAGUCAUGGUUAAGUGGGAAACGAUGUGGGAAGGCACAGACAGCCAGGAUGUUGGCUUAGAAGCAGCCAUCAUUUAAAGAAAGCGUAAUAGCUCACUGGUCGAGUCGGCCUGCGCGGAAGAUGUAACGGGGCUAAACCAUGCACCGAAGCUGCGGCAGCGACACUAUGUGUUGUUGGGUAGGGGAGCGUUCUGUAAGCCUGCGAAGGUGUGCUGUGAGGCAUGCUGGAGGUAUCAGAAGUGCGAAUGCUGACAUAAGUAACGAUAAAGCGGGUGAAAAGCCCGCUCGCCGGAAGACCAAGGGUUCCUGUCCAACGUUAAUCGGGGCAGGGUGAGUCGACCCCUAAGGCGAGGCCGAAAGGCGUAGUCGAUGGGAAACAGGUUAAUAUUCCUGUACUUGGUGUUACUGCGAAGGGGGGACGGAGAAGGCUAUGUUAGCCGGGCGACGGUUGUCCCGGUUUAAGCAUGUAGGCUGAUUGUCCAGGCAAAUCCGGAUAAUCAAGGCUGAGGUGUGAUGACGAGGCACUACGGUGCUGAAGUAACAAAUGCCCUGCUUCCAGGAAAAGCCUCUAAGCAUCAGGUAACAUCAAAUCGUACCCCAAACCGACACAGGUGGUCAGGUAGAGAAUACCAAGGCGCUUGAGAGAACUCGGGUGAAGGAACUAGGCAAAAUGGUGCCGUAACUUCGGGAGAAGGCACGCUGGUGUGUAGGUGAAGUCCCUGCGGAUGGAGCUGAGACCAGUCGAAGAUACCAGCUGGCUGCAACUGUUUAUUAAAAACACAGCACUGUGCAAACACGAAAGUGGACGUAUACGGUGUGACGCCUGCCCGGUGCCGGAAGGUUAAUUGAUGGGGUUAUCCGUAAGGAGAAGCUCUUGAUCGAAGCCCCGGUAAACGGCGGCCGUAACUAUAACGGUCCUAAGGUAGCGAAAUUCCUUGUCGGGUAAGUUCCGACCUGCACGAAUGGCGUAAUGAUGGCCAGGCUGUCUCCACCCGAGACUCAGUGAAAUUGAACUCGCUGUGAAGAUGCAGUGUACCCGCGGCAAGACGGAAAGACCCCGUGAACCUUUACUAUAGCUUGACACUGAACAUUGAGCCUUGAUGUGUAGGAUAGGUGGGAGGCUUUGAAGCGUGGACGCCAGUCUGCGUGGAGCCAACCUUGAAAUACCACCCUUUAAUGUUUGAUGUUCUAACGUUGGCCCCUGACCGGGGUUGCGGACAGUGUCUGGUGGGUAGUUUGACUGGGGCGGUCUCCUCCCAAAGCGUAACGGAGGAGCACGAAGGUUAGCUAAUCCUGGUCGGACAUCAGGAGGUUAGUGCAAUGGCAUAAGCUAGCUUGACUGCGAGCGUGACGGCGCGAGCAGGUGCGAAAGCAGGUCAUAGUGAUCCGGUGGUUCUGAAUGGAAGGGCCAUCGCUCAACGGAUAAAAGGUACUCCGGGGAUAACAGGCUGAUACCGCCCAAGAGUUCAUAUCGACGGCGGUGUUUGGCACCUCGAUGUCGGCUCAUCACAUCCUGGGGCUGAAGUAGGUCCCAAGGGUAUGGCUGUUCGCCAUUUAAAGUGGUACGCGAGCUGGGUUUAGAACGUCGUGAGACAGUUCGGUCCCUAUCUGCCGUGGGCGCUGGAGAAUUGAGGGGGGCUGCUCCUAGUACGAGAGGACCGGAGUGGACGCAUCACUGGUGUUCGGGUUGUCAUGCCAAUGGCACUGCCCGGUAGCUAAAUGCGGAAGAGAUAAGUGCUGAAAGCAUCUAAGCACGAAACUUGCCCCGAGAUG